AUUGAACGCUGGCGGCAGGCCUAACACAUGCAAGUCGAACGGUAACAGGAAGAAGCUUGCUUCUUUGCUGACGAGUGGCGGACGGGUGAGUAAUGUCUGGGAAACUGCCUGAUGGAGGGGGAUAACUACUGGAAACGGUAGCUAAUACCGCAUAACGUCGCAAGACCAAAGAGGGGGACCUUCGGGCCUCUUGCCAUCGGAUGUGCCCAGAUGGGAUUAGCUAGUAGGUGGGGUAACGGCUCACCUAGUCGCCGAUCCCUAGCUGGUCUGAGAGGAUGACCAGCCACACUGGAACUGAGACACGGUCCAGACUCCUACGGGAGGCAGCAGUGGGGAAUAUUGCACAAUGGGCGCAAGCCUGAUGCAGCCAUGCCGCGUGUAUGAAGAAGGCCUUCGGGUUGUAAAGUACUUUCAGCGGGGAGGAAGGGAGUAAAGUUAAUACCUUUGCUCAUUGACGUUACCCGCAGAAGAAGCACCGGCUAACUCCGUG
rnacentral:rRNA from 1 species